rnacentral:rRNA from 1 species
CAUGCCGCGUGGAGGAUGAAGGUCCUCUGGAUUGUACACUUCUUUUAUAUGGGACGAAAAAGGGCUUUUCUAAGUCAACUGACGGUACCAUAUGAAUAAGCACCGGCUAACUCCGUGCCAGCAGCCGCGGUAAUACGGAGGGUGCAAGCGUUAUCCGGAUUCACUGGGUUUAAAGGGUGCGUAGGUGGGUUGGUAAGUCAGUGGUGAAAUCCCCGAGCUUAACUUGGGAACUGCCAUUGAUACUAUCAAUCUUGAAUACCGUGGAGGUCAGCGGAAUAUGUCAUGUAGCGGUGAAAUGCUUAGAUAUGACAUAGAACACCAAUUGCGAAGGCAGCUGGCUACGCAUAUAUUGACACUGAGGCACGAAAGCGUGGGGAUCACACAGGGAUUUAGAUACCCUGGUAGUCCACGCCCUAAACUAUGGAUACUCGACAUACGCGAUACACUGUGUGUGUCUGAGCGAAAGCAUUAAGUAUCCCACCUGGGAAGUACGAUCGCAAGAUUGAAACUCAAAGGAAUUG